GAGAGAGAGAGAGAGAGAGAGAGAGAGAGUUGAGCUGGAAUGCUAUUGGUAGCAAACUAGCUCCGUUGCCACCCAUUUGAUUUUUGUGAUAGAGCUUUUAAAUUGACGAUCGGCAUCGUUGAACAUGAUCUAUACCACUUGAAGUAUGUAGAAACCAAAUUUUAAAUCAUUUCAACAUCAUUGACCUAAUGAUCAAAGGGUUUUAAAAUUUGUAAUUUUAAUAGUAGAUAUAAGGGGUUUUCUCGUUUAACGGUGUAAAGUUAUCCAAAUGAAUUGAAUUUUGGUUAGAAAAUUCUUUAAACUAUUUAGAAUAAGAUCUAUACUCUCGAUCUUGAUUACAAAAUUCCUAUCAUCACUUUUUAGAGGAUAUUCAUUUUCAGCCGUUCAUUUUUACGCUCACUUGAUGGACGAGAGAACAAUAUCGAAAAAGCAUGAAAUUUGAUUUCUAGAUAGUUCAAGUGGUAUAGAUCAUAUUCAACGAUUCCGAUCAUCGAUUUGGAGGCUCCAUCAUCGAAAACAAAAGGGUGGCAACGGAGCCCGUUUGCUACCGAUAGAAUUCUCGCUCAACUCUCUCUCUCUCUCUCUCUCUCUCUCUCUUUCUCUCUCUCUCUCUCUCUCUCUCUCUCUAUAUAUAUAUAUAUAUAUAUAUAUAUAUAUAUAUAAAAAGCCAGGCCGGUAUAUUAUCAAUUUCUGUGCUACCAAGUUGUUUUUAAUGAUGCGGCUUUCAAAUCAACGAUCGGCUCCGUUAUACUUCAUAUACACUAUUAAAAGUAUUUGAAAAUUUAUUAUUUUUUAAUAUCAUUUCGCUAAUGAUCAAAAUAUUUCAAAAUUGACAAUUUUAAUGGUCGAUGUGAUGCGUUUGUGAAUUUAACAGUGUAAAACAAUUCAAAUCUGAUGAAAUAUUUAUAGAAAUUAUUUUCACUAUUUAGAGUAAGAUCAGUAUCUCUAAUUUUACAUUCAAGUCUUUUACCAUCAUUUUUAUGAAAUUUUUAUUUUUAGUCGUUUAUUUUUAGACUACUCGUUUGAUAGGUAAAUAAUAUCGAAAAAUUAUGAAAUUUAGUUUUCAAAUACUUUCAAUAGUAUAAAUCAAGUCUAACGGAGCCGAUUAUCGAUUUUGAAGCUCCAUCAUUGAAAACAACUUGAUAACACGAAAGCUUUCGUGCUACCAAUAGUAUACCAGCCGGACUCUCUCUCUCUCUAUACAUAUAUAAAGUAGAAUUAUUAUACUCUUAUAAGUAUGUAGCUCUUGAUACUCAUAAAUUAUUUUUUAUGACAGAGCUUCCGAAUCCAUGAUCCAUACCGUUAAAUAUGAUCUUAGAGCAUUUGAAACGUUUAGAAAAUAAAUUUCGUAAUAUUUUGAAAUUAUAAUAAAGUCCAUCAAGCGGUUAUAAAAUGAACAAUCAAAAUUGAACGCCUUUCUAAAAAUAGAGAAUUGAAUGCUUCAAUUUAAGAACGAAAUUAUUGAUCUUUAUUUAGAUAGUGAGUAGAAUUUCUAUCAAAAAUUCAACUGAUCAUUUGAUUCUUUUAUUCUGUUAAACUAGCAAGUAUCUCAUAUCGGCUCUUAAAAAUUGUUGAUUUUGAUAUCUUCUAUUCGCAAGGUAAAUGAUGUUGAAAAAUUAUAAAAUUUAAUUUCUAGAAAUUUGAAAUUCUCUAAAUUAUAUUUAACGUCGAUUCAGAAGUUUUAUUAUCGAAAACGACUAGUACUUAUAAAUAUGAAAGCAACCGUAAUCAUAAAAGUAUAAAAAACGAACUAUAUAGAGUAGUAUACUAUUAAUAAUACCAAGUCAUUAAUUAAUACUAUUAAUUAAAGCUCUUCAAUAGAAAGACGUACGAUUAGAAUGAUAGUAAUUCUCUAUGAUUGAGUGAGCAAUUGAUUAAUAAUUAAUUAAUUAAAGCUCUUGAAUAAAAAGACGGACGAUUAAAAUUAAAAUGAUAGU
rnacentral:lncRNA from 1 species